rnacentral:rRNA from 1 species
CACGUAGGAGGCGAGCGUUGUCCGGAAUCAUUGGACGUAAAGAGCGCGCAGGCGGCCCGGCAAGUCGGGUGUGAAAUCCCGGGGCUCAACCCCGGGACUGCAUUCGAUACUGUCGGGCUAGAGGUAGGUAGGGGAGAUCGGAAUUCCUGGUGUAGCGGUGAAAUGCGCAGAUAUCAGGAGGAACACCGGUGGCGAAGGCGGAUCUCUGGGCCUUACCUGACGCUCAGGCGCGAAAGCUAGGGGAGCGAACAGG